rnacentral:rRNA from 1 species
AGCGAACGCUGGCGGCAGGCCUAACACAUGCAAGUCGAGCGGUAGAGAGAAGCUUGCUUCUCUUGAGAGCGGCGGACGGGUGAGUAAUGCCUAGGAAUCUGCCUGAUAGUGGGGGAUAACGUCCGGAAACGGACGCUAAUACCGCAUACGUCCUACGGGAGAAAGUGGGGGCUCUUCGGACCUCACGCUAUCAGAUGAGCCUAGGUCGGAUUAGCUAGUUGGUGGGGUAAAGGCCUACCAAGGCGACGAUCUGUAGCGGGUCUGAGAAGAUGAUCCGCCAAACUGGGACUGAGACACGGCCCAGAAUCCUACGGGAGGCAGCAGUGGGGAAUAUUGGACAAUGGGCGCAAGCCUGAUCCAGCCAUGCCGCGUGUGUGAAGAAGGCCUUCGGGUUGUAAAGCACUUUCAGCGAGGAGGAAGGGGUGUGUGUUAAUAGUACACACCUUUGACGUUACUCGCAGAAGAAGCACCGGCUAACUCUGUGCCAGCAGCCGCGGUAAAAC